rnacentral:tRNA from 1 species
UUAAUUAAAUCCAAAUAGCGGAAUAUUAUUGUUAAUAAUAUUAUUGAAAAUAUAAAUUUCUAAUUAAA